UACGUAGGGUGCAAGCGUUGUCCGGAAUUAUUGGGCGUAAAGCGCUCGUAGGUGGUUUGUUACGUCCGCUGUGAAAUCCUAGGGCUUAACCCUGGGCUUGCAGUGGAUACGGGCAGACUAGAGGUAGGUAGGGGAGAAUGGAAUUCCUGGUGUAGCGGUGAAAUGCGCAGAUAUCAGGAGGAACACCGGUGGCGAAGGCGGUUCUCUGGGCCUUACCUGACACUGAGGAGCGAAAGCGUGGGGAGCGAACAGG
rnacentral:rRNA from 1 species